UACGUAGGGACCGAGCGUUGUCCGGAAUCAUUGGGCGUAAAGAGCGUGUAGGCGGCCACUUAAGUCCUGCGUGAAAUCUUGCGGCUCAACCGCAAGCGGUCGUGGGAAACUGGGUGGCUAGAGUGCGGGAGAGGAGAGUGGAAUUCCUGGUGUAGCGGUGGAAUGCGCAGAUAUCAGGAAGAACACCCAUGGCGAAGGCGGCUCUCUGGAACGCAACUGACGCUGAGACGCGAAAGCGUGGGGAGCAAACAGG
rnacentral:rRNA from 1 species